rnacentral:rRNA from 1 species
UACGUAGGGUGCGAGCGUUGUCCGGAAUUAUUGGGCGUAAAAGAGCUCGUAGGCGGUGUGUCACGUCGGCCGUGAAAACCUGCAGCUUAACUGUGGGGCGUGCGGUCGAUACGGGGCAUCACUGGAGUUCGGCAGGGGGAGACUGGAAUUCCUGGUGUAGCGGUGAAAUGCGCAGAUAUCAGGAGGAAACACCGGUGGCGAAGGCGGCUCUCUGGGGACGGUACUGACGCUGAGACGCGAAAAGCGUGGGGGAGCGAACAGG